rnacentral:rRNA from 1 species
GUGGGGAAUAUUGGACAAUGGGCGAAAGCCUGAUCCAGCCAUGCCGCGUGUGUGAAGAAGGUCUUCGGAUUGUAAAGCACUUUAAGUUGGGAGGAAGGGCAGUAAGUUAAUACCUUGCUGUUUUGACGUUACCGACAGAAUAAGCACCGGCUAACUUCGUGCCAGCAGCCGCGGUAAUACGAAGGGUGCAAGCGUUAAUCGGCAUUACUGGGCGUAAAGCGCGCGUAGGUGGUUUUGUAAGUUGGAGGUGAAAUCCCCGGGCUCAACCUGGGAACUGCCUCCAAAACUGCAUGACUAGAGUACGGUAGAGGGUAGUGGAAUUUCCUGUGUAGCGGUGAAAUGCGUAGAUAUAGGAAGGAACACCAGUGGCGAAGGCGACUACCUGGACUGAUACUGACACUGAGGUGCGAAAGCGUGGGGAGCAAACAGGAUUAGAUACCCCAGUAGUCC